CACAUGCAAGAGCGAAAGAGAGAAAGAAAGAGAGAGCGGCUGUGACUGUUAGACUUCUUCCUGUGGUUUGUACCACGUGGGCUGAGGAGGGUUAAAAAGGAGACAACUUCUUCUUCAGCCACUUCUUCUAGAACAGAGGGAAGAAGACACUGGGCGCUGAGACCACUAGACAAGCUCUUCGCUUUUUACACAAAGGAGCCUUCAGUCAGGUGUGUGUGUGUGUGUGUGUGUGUGUGUGUGAGAGAGAGAGAGAGACGGUGGCUGGGUGUGGUUAGUUAGAGAGAGCAGUUGUGUGCGUCUGGAUACCAGUUUUGAGGCAGGUGCACAAGAAGAAACGAACGAAGCCGGAGGAGAAAAGACGUCGUCUUCGGAAGUACAGUGCAGUCAUCCAUAAAGUAGAAAGCACUACUAAACUCCUCGCCACAGUGUAGUGUUUCCUACUUUAUGGAUGAGUGUACUGUUGGCUACGGUGACAAAGACAGAGGAGCCAAAAUGGCGUCUGCAGUGGAGAGACUGUCCACAUUCAGGAAAUGAGAAAAAAAGAGGAACCUGCAUUGUUUUACAUAGUGGCGGCGUGCGCAGCGCAGUGUGUCACCGACUACAGUUCACAUGGGCUGUGCACGCCGCCCAACACUGAACAAAGCUGGAAAGACCUCAUGCUUAGCCUUUUAGCAAUGACUGGUACUGAAUGUGUAUUAAAAUGGUGAACUGGAAAUUAUUUACGUCACAAACUAUAUAUAUAUGGAAAUGUUUUACACAUCUCAAACUAUAUAUAUGGGAAAUGUUUUAAAUGUGGAAAUGUUUUAAAUGUCUCAAACUAUAUAUAUGGGAAAUGUUUUAAAUGUGGAAAUGUUUUAAAUGUCUCAAACUAUAGAUAUAUGGAAAUGUUUUACAUGUCUCAAACUAUAGAUAUGGAAAUGUUUUAAAUGUCUCAAAUGUGGAAAUGUUUUAAAUGUCUCAAACUUUAUAUGGAAAUGUUUUAAAUGUCUCAAAUUUAUAGUUUAUUCCAGUUUAUUCCUUUAUUCCAGUGUUCUACUUGCUAUAUUGUAUUUACUUCACCACCAUGGCUUUUUUUGCCUUUACCUCCCUUAUCUCACCUCAUUUGCUCACAUCGUAUAUAGACUUGUUUCUACUGUAUUAUUGACUGUAUGUUUGUUUUACUCCAUGUGUAACUCUGUGUUGUUGUUUGUGUCGAACUGCUUUGCUUUAUCUUGGCCAGGUCGCAAUUGUAAAUUACAACUUGUUCUCAACUUGCCUACCUGGUCAAAUAAAGGUGAAAUAAAAUAAAUAAAAAUAGAUAUGGAAAGACUACAUUUGUUGAACUGUAUAUGGUCUGGUCCUGUAAAAUAGCUAUUAUCAUUCUAUGUGGUAUCAUUCUCUGCUUUUAAUGUAAAAAUCUAUGAUGUAUAUUGAUAAGUCUGUAUAAUUGGUGGGUGUAUUGACAAAUUUGUCUUCAUUAAAUAAUAAUACAAAUUUUAAAAAAA